UCGCUGCUGGGAUUGGGAGAGACGGAUGAGGUCGCUUUCUUUUCUUAGGUUGGGGGCUAGAAAGAGAAUGGGGACGCCGCGUGCUUCCCAUCUGGCUCUCAAAGCUUGUUCCCGCCCCGCGCAGCCUUUGAAAUUUUAGCGUAUUCAGUGACACCUGCCGGCAGGCGCCAUAAGAAUCUUGAGAAAGACGGGACUGUGAGGCCCACUUUCUAGAUAUGGAACACCGAGCACGCAGACCAGAACUCGAUACGACGUCCGAGCUCUCCCUAAUUCAGCGGCGAAUGGGCCGGGGACACCUCGCCUUCCGCCUGCCAGCCGAGGAUCCCUGAGCUGGACGGCCUCCCAGGCCUGAGGUUAGACGAUGCGUGGGUGCCCCAUUCCCAGGCCUCACCCUACCCUACCCGGCAGCUAGUCUGGACGCUGGCGGGGACGCGUUGCCCCCUCCCCCGUCCCGGUGAAGCGUGCGCGGGCACGGGGGCGGGGCCAGUCCGGGGGGCGGGGCCAGGAUGCCGGCAGGAGUCGCGUGGCGGGGAGGGGCGCGCGCAACCCGCUCCCCACGUGUGAGCCCGCUUGGGCACCGCGGGGCUUGGUCCGCCCCCGGGGGAGGUCACCUUCAUGGCGUCGCGGGCCCGAGCGAUAGGAGGGGGUGCUGGGGCCCCGCUCCGCGGGAUGAGGAACCGGGAGGGGUCGGAUUAGGGUCCCGAAAGUCCCUUUCUUCUGGGGCGCGGCGGGCACUGUCCUGGGCGGGAGGUGCGUGCCUCCGACCGCAGGACUCACCCGCUCCCGGCAGGCAAAGGCUGAGAGCGAAGCCGGAGGGUGUAGGGCUGGGGGAAGGGCUGAAGUGCGGCUCCGGAGACGCUGGGGGCGGGAUGCUGCUCUCUGUGCCCGGGACGGUAAUUGGAACAUCCCGGACGGGAGGGGGUGACUCUUAAAGGCACAAGGCGGCUGGAAGAAGGAGCAGGCUGUACUGCAUAAAUGGCCCCUCCGCCGAUUUAUUCCAUGCUGAGCCCUGGAGAUCUGUCUUCGCAGUUCCAGCUUUCCCAGCUGCAGCCAGGAAGACCGAAGAGCAUAGUGGCUCAAUUCCCGAUGGAGUCAGACUUCCUGUGUUCCUAUCCCGAUGGUUCCUUUUAUUUAUCCUUAAAAUGGGGAUAAUGUAG